rnacentral:lncRNA from 1 species
UCUUUUGUGCAAGCAAAAUCCAUGAAGCUUGAUGAUAUGUCGAUGCUUUAUUUCUGAUAAUACUUUGGCUUCGUUUCUGAAACUCUCAUCAAACNUGGGGACCUUUGCUUCAAAGCCAUGAAGUUUUUUCACCGCAACAAUCUUGCCACUUGGAAGUUGAGCCCUAUAAACACUCCCGUAGGCACCUGUUCCAAUACAAUAUUUGAGGUCAAAGUCUUCAGUUACUGCAAUGAUGUCUUCAUAGGCUAUGCUUUCGUCAUAGUUCCAUAUGCAAAAAUAGUCUCCAUUCUUAGAUGUUUUACUUAUUCUUGCAUGUUUGUUCUUGAUUUCCAUUUGAUUUUUCCUCAAAUGUAGAAGCAGAAAGAAGGUCAUUAUCAGAAAAAUGGUGAUAAAAAUUGUUAUGACCAACUGAUUAUGCCUUAGUUUCUUGCCUUGGAUUGAACAAGGCUUGAAUUUGUAAAUGGUUUGGAUAUCCGAAAUGUUGCUGCAUACACCCUCGUUCCCCACUAACACAGAUGGAUGUAAACCAUCUGGAAUAGGACCCUGAAAAUUAUUGAAGCCUAGAUCCAAACUUUCUAAGAGUGACAAAUAUUGAACUGUGAAGGGUUUUAGAGAACCGGUAAGUCGAUUGUGUGAAAUGUCAAGAUGUUGAAGGUUCCUAAGGUUUGAAAGGGAAAUGGGGAAGGUUCCAUUGAUUUUGUUGUAAGAUACAUCUAAAACAUUGAGAUUUACCAGGAAUGACAAUUCAAAAGGUAUAGGGCCCUGAAUAUAGUUGUUAGAGAUGAUUAGGCUACUUAAUUGGGUUAGAUUUCCUAUUGUAGGAGGUAUUUCCCCAUGAAUAGAAUUAUGGGAUAAAUAAAUAAAAGUAAGUCCUACAAGAUUUCCUAUGGUAGGAGGCAUCUUCCCAUUAAGAGAAUUGUGGGACAAAUCAAGAUAAGUGAGUGUGGAAAGAUUUCCUACAGUUGAAGGUAUUUCACCUUGAAGAGAAUUGUAGGAUAAAUCAAGGUAAGCGAGUUCAGAAAGAUUUCCUACCGUGAGAGGUGUUUCACCUUGAAGAAAAUUGUAUGACAAAUCAAGAUAAGUGAGUUUGGAAAUAUUUCCAACUGUAAGAGGUGUUUCACCUUGAAUAGAAUUGUCGAACAAAUCAAGAUAAGUGAGUUUGGAAAGAGUUCCCAUUGUAGGGGGUAUUUCUCCAUAAAUAUAAUUGUGGGACAAAUCAAGAUAAGUGAGUUUGGAAAGAUUUCCUAUUGUAGGAGGUAUCUCACCAAAAAUAGAAUUGUGGGACAAUUCAAGAUGAGUGAGUUUGGAAAGAUUUCCUAUUGUAGGAGGUAUCUCACCAAAAAUAGAAUUGUG